UACCAGGGUGGUAACGGGUAACGGGGUGUUAGGGCACGACACCGGAGAGGGAGCCUGAGAAACGGCUACCACAUCCAAGGAUGGCAGCAGGCGCGCAAAUUACCCAAUCCCGACACGGGGAGGUAGUGACAAUAAAUAACAAUACGGGGUUCUUUAGGAUCUCGUAAUUGGAAUGAGUACAAUUUAAAUCUCUUAACGAGGAACAAUUGGAGGGCAAGUCUGGUGCCAGCAGCCGCGGUAAUUCCAGCUCCAAUAGCGUAUAUUAAAGUUGUUGCAGUUAAAAAGCUCGUAGUUGAAUUUCGGGGUCAGUAGGUCGGUCGUGCCACUGGUAUGAACUGGUUUUACUGAUUCCUCCCUCUUGAAGAACUGUAAUGCCAUUAAUUUGGUGUUGCAGGGAAUCAGGACUGUUACUUUGAAAAAAUUAGAGUGUUUAAAGCAGGCUUUAGCUUGAAUACAUUAGCAUGGAAUAAUGAAAUAGGACGUUUGAUCCUAUUUUGUUGGUUUCUAGGAUUGACGUAAUGAUUAAUAGGGAWAGUUGGGGGCGUUAGUAUUCAAUUGUCAGAGGUGAGAUUCUUGGAUUUAUUGAAGACUAACUACUGCGAAAGCAUUUGCCAAGGAUGUUUUCAUUAAUCAAGAACGAAAGUUAGGGGAUCGAAGACGAUCAGAUACCGUCGUAGUCUUAACCAUAAACUAUGCCGACUAGGGAUCGGAUGAUGUUAAUUUUUUAAUGACUCAUCCGGCGCCUUACGGGGAACCAAAGUGUUU
rnacentral:rRNA from 1 species